rnacentral:rRNA from 1 species
ACGGGGCGCAGCAGGCGCGAAAACUCCGCAAUGCACGAAAGUGCGACGGGGUUACCUCGAGUGCCGUCUGAUGAAGGCGGCUUUUCCACAGUUUAAGGAGCUGUGGAAUAAGAGGGGGGCAAGACUGGUGUCAGCCGCCGCGGUAACACCAGCCCCUCGAGUGGUGGAGACGAUUAUUGGGCCUAAAGCGUCCGUAGCCGGCCCGGUAAGCCCCCUGUUAAAUCCGAUGUUCCAAGCUUCGGACUGCGGGGGAUACUGUCGGGCUAGAGGGUGGGAGAGGCCAGCGGUAUUCCCGGGGUAGGGGCGAAAUCCAUUGAUCCCGGGAGGACCACCAGUGGCGAAGGCGGCUGGCUUGAACACGCCUGACGGUGAGGGACGAAAGCUGGGGGAGCGAAUCGGAUUAGAUACCCGAGUAGUCCCGGCUGUAAACGAUGUAGGCUAGGUGUUGGGGCGGCCAUGGGCCGCCCCCCGGUGCGCAGGGAAGCCCUUAAGCCUACCGCCUGGGGAGUACGGCCGCAAGGCUGAAACUUAAAGGAAUUGGCGGGGGGGUACCACCAGGCGUGAAGCCUGCGGUUUAAUUGGAGUCAACGCCGGGAAACUUACCGGGAGCGACAGCAGGAUGAAGGCCAGGUUGAAGGUCUUGCCAGACGAGCUGAGAGGAGGUGCAUGGCCGUCGCCAGUUCGUGCCGUGAGGUGUCCUCUUAAGUGAGGUAACGAACGAGACCCGCGCCCCAUGUUGCCAACAAAUCCUAAUGGAUGUUGGGCACACUUGGGGGACCGCCGCCGAUGAGGCGGAGGAAGGUGCGGGCAACGGCAGGUCAGUAUGCCCCGAAUCUCCCGGGCCACACGCGGGCUGCAAUGGUAGGGACAGAGGGCUGCAACCCCGAAAGGGGAAGCUAAUCCCUAAACCCUACCUCAGUUGGGAUCGAGGGCUGCAACCCGCCCUCGUGAACAUGGAAUGCCUAGUAACUGCGCGUCAUCAUCGCGCGGUGAAUACGUCCCUGCUCCUUGCACACACUGCCCGUCGAACCAGCCAAAUGGAGUUUGGAUGAGGCGUGGUCGAAGGUUGGCCGCGUCGAAUCCGAGCUCCGUGAGGAGGGUUAAGUCGUAACAAGGUAGCCGU